rnacentral:rRNA from 1 species
UCAUAGAGGGUGAGAAUCCCGUAUUUGACCAUUAUUUUCAGCUGUGUGAUACACUUUCAAAGAGUCGGAUUGUUUGGGAAUGCAGUCCAAAAUGGGUGGUAAAUUUCAUCUAAAGCUAAAUAUUGGCGAGAGACCGAUAGCGAACAAGUACCGUGAGGGAAAGAUGAAAAGAACUUUGAAAAGAGAGUUAAACAGUACGUGAAAUUGUCAAAAGGGAAGCGUUUGACACCAGUGUUGUUUUUCCGAAAAUCAAUUAAGAAGGACUUGAUUUUGUGUUGUAUUGACCUUAUCAGCUUUCUUCACUCUUUUUCGAGUUUUUCUUAAUGCACUUUUCGGUUAACAAGUCAACAUCAAUUUCUUUUGUUGUAAAAGGGUAUUUGGAAGGUGGCUUUCUUUUCGGAGAAAGUGUUUAUAGCCUUAUACCUCUACAAUCGGAGAGAUUGAGGUCUGCAGCGUAGAUCCUUCGGGGCUAGAUACACUUGUGCUAAGUUAUAGCUUUUCAUAGACAACUUGUUGACUAUGUUUAGUCAUGUAGCUUACCCGCUUGUGCUAUUUUACCUACGCUUAGGAUGUUGA